rnacentral:rRNA from 1 species
AACGAACGCUGGCGGCAGGCCUAACACAUGCAAGUCGAGCGAGCAUUUCGGUGCUAGCGGCGGACGGGUGAGUAACGCGUGGGAACGUGCCCUUUUCUGCGGAAUAGUCCUGGGAAACUGGGGGUAAUACCGCAUACGCCCUUUUGGGGAAAGAUUUAUCGGAGAAGGAUCGGCCCGCGUUGGAUUAGGUAGUUGGUUGGGUAAUGGCCCACCAAGCCGACGAUCCAUAGCUGGUUUGAGAGGAUGAUCAGCCACACUGGGACUGAGACACGGCCCAGACUCCUACGGGAGGCAGCAGUGGGGAAUCUUAGACAAUGGGGGCAACCCUGAUCGAGCCAUGCCGCGUGAGUGAUGAAGGCAUUAGGGUUGUAAAGCUCUUUCAGCUGGGAAGAUAAUGACGGUACCAGCAGAAGAAGCCCCGGCUAACUCCGUG